UAAGGAAUAUCGGUCAAUGGACGAAAGUCUGAACCAGCCAUGCCGCGUGGAGGAUGAAGGUCCUCUGGAUUGUAAACUUCUUUUAUCUGGGACGAAAAAAGGUCUUUCUAGAUCGUCUGACGGUACCAGAUGAAUGAGCACCGGCUAACUCCGUGCCAGCAGCCGCGGUAAUACGGAGGGUGCAAGCGUUAUCCGGAUUCACUGGGUUUAAAGGGUGCGUAGGUGGGUUGGUAAGUCAGUGGUGAAAUCUUCGAGCUUAACUCGGAAACUGCCAUUGAUACUAUCAGUCUUGAAUAUUGUGGAGGUUAGCGGAAUAUGUCAUGUAGCGGUGAAAUGCUUAGAUAUGACAUAGAACACCAAUUGCGAAGGCAGCUGGCUACACAUAUAUUGACACUGAGGCACGAAAGCGUGGGGAUCAAACAGGAUUAGAUACCCUGGUAGUCCACGCCCUAAACUAUGGAUACUCGACAUACGCGAUACACUGUGUGUGUCUGAGCGAAAGCAUUAAGUAUCCCCACCUGGGGAAGUACGAUCGCAAGAUUGAAACUUAAAGGAA
rnacentral:rRNA from 1 species